GACGAACGCUGGCGGCGUGCUUAACACAUGCAAGUCGAACGGAAAGGCCUCUUUCGGGGGGUACUCGAGUGGCGAACGGGUGAGUAACACGUGAGUAACCUGCCCUUGACUUUGGGAUAACUUCAGGAAACUGGGGCUAAUACCGGAUAGGAGCUCCUGCUGCAUGGUGGGGGUUGGAAAGUUUCGGCGGUUGGGGAUGGACUCGCGGCUUAUCAGCUUGUUGGUGGGGUAGUGGCUUACCAAGGCUUUGACGGGUAGCCGGCCUGGGAGGGUGACCGGCCACAGUGGGACUGGGAUACGGACCAGACUCCUACGGGAGGCAGCAGUGGGGAAUAUUGCACAAUGGGUGGAAGCCUGAUGCAGCAACGCCGUGUGCGGGAUGACGGCCUUCGGGUUGUAAACCGAUUUCGCUCAUGACGAAGCUUUGUGUGACGGUAGUGGGUAAAGAAGCACCGGCUAACUACGUG
rnacentral:rRNA from 1 species